UGGGGAAUUUUGGACAAUGGGCGAAAGCCUGAUCCAGCAAUGCCGCGUGUGUGAAGAAGGCCUUCGGGUUGUAAAGCACUUUUGUCCGGAAAGAAAUCCUUGGCUCUAAUACAGUCGGGGGAUGACGGUACCGGAAGAAUAAGCACCGGCUAACUACGUGCCAGCAGCCGCGGUAAUACGUAGGGUGCAAGCGUUAAUCGGAAUUACUGGGCGUAAAGCGUGCGCAGGCGGUUUGCUAAGACCGAUGUGAAAUCCCCGGGCUCAACCUGGGAACUGCAUUGGUGACUGGCAGGCUAGAGUAUGGCAGAGGGGGGUAGAAUUCCACGUGUAGCAGUGAAAUGCGUAGAGAUGUGGAGGAAUACCGAUGGCGAAGGCAGCCCCCUGGGCCAAUACUGACGCUCAUGCACGAAAGCGUGGGGAGCAAACAGGAUUAGAUACCCUGGUAGUCCACGCCCUAAACGAUGUCAACUAGUUGUUGGGGAUUCAUUUCCUUAGUAACGUAGCUAACGCGUGAAGUUGACCGCCUGGGGAGUACGGUCGCAAGGUUAAAACUCAAAGGAAUUGACGGGAUCAUAGCUG
rnacentral:rRNA from 1 species